CAGGAGAAGAUACCUCAAGAGCAAAGAAGAAAGCUGAGGUCAAAUUUCAGAGGAUUUGCAAAAUUCUGGUUUUUCUAUGGAAAGCUGUGUUUCUUGCAUUCCUUUUCCAAUUCUAUACCUCACCUGUCUCCCACCCAAAGAGAAAACAAGAUUCAGGGCGUUGACAAGAUCAGAAGGUCCAUGUGGAAUCUUCUUGGAACCGAAAUCGCCGGCGCAAGAAGGGCAGAUGAACAUUUUUUAAUUGAAAAGUAAUACGGUUUAGCAGCUUCCAUUUCCCUUUGAACAGAAGACUUUUUUGAAGUUUUGAUUAAUAGGGCACAUUAGUAAGAAAAUAAGAUUUAUGUGUGUGUUCUACCAUGCUGAGGUUAUAGGUAUGAGCACAGAAAAAAAAUAAAAAUAGUUGCUGCCUAUUGCAUGUUUAUAAUAUGUCAGCUACUGGGCUAUGGAUUUUCCACAUAUAGUAUUGCUUUGUUUCCUUCUAAUAAACAAACAAGCAAACAAAAAUACUUUACUAAAAAGUAAACAGGAGUUUAGCAUGAAGCAACUUACUAAGAGUCUCUACUUUUAAACUCUUAGACUAAGUAGACUCUUUUAUUUCAGAACAGUUAUUCUUAUUUAACACGAUAUGCGGCAACUAGUCGGGGUAGAUCUGAGUUGUACUUAAAGUAAGAAAAUAAAUACAUACAAACAGCCUUCAUCGAAGUCAUCUAUCAUUGCUGUGAAACUACUGCAGAUGAGCCCAUCUUACAAUCACCCACUCCCCCAUCCAACGACAGGAAAAAUAUUUUAAAGCACCAGCACUGACUGAAGCAGAGCCUCUCCCAGCAACAUAAUCACUGGAUUACAAUUCUCCUCACACACAUGUGCAAAGGAAGGUCUUUCGAAUAGAGCAAAUACUCCAUUAAAUACUCAAUUAAAGCCAUUUCCAGAACGUAAAAGAAUGUGAUUUAGGUCACACACAUGAUGUCAGAACUAUGGGUUGAAUCUCAUCAAUGCAAUGAAGCAGAAGAAAAUAAGAUUGAAACCCGUUGUUUGGCUUCAUGUAGCUAAAACAACUGCCUGAUUAACUAAAUUUUUCUCUUUCAAACCCGUUGUCAUGGUACUGUGCAGAGAGAAUCUUAGACAGAGCCUGCAGAAAACAAAAAAUUUGUGACAUCUUGCCCUGACCCUUAUUUUGCAAUUAUAUUAGGGCUGUCAUUCUGGGAUGACGUAAAAUCACUACAGUCUCUUAAAAAAUCUCAGAAAUUCAGGAGAAAAUAGUCAAGGCAUCAGUUCAAGGCCAUAUUUUAAAUUAUUUUAAAGAUGGCUUUAUUAUUUUCAAAUAUUGUGUACAUUUGAAACUCAGAUAUAUGUGAGUACUAAAAAUAAAUCCAAUCAAGAAAAUGAAAAAAUGACAAAAGUCCUCUAUUAUAAAGUAAUAUAUCAAAAAUAUACAGUUAUUUCAGUACCCAGACAUCGAUUGCUUUACUCUGGGAUAAAUGAACUACAGGUCAGGCGCAAUGGCUCAUGCCUGUAAUACUAGCACUUAGGGAGGCCAAGGUGGGAGGAUUGUUUGAGCCCAGGAUUUGGAGACCAGCUUGGGCAACAUAGCAAGACUCUGUCUCUGUGAAAAAUUUAAAAAUUAGCCAGAUGUGAUGGCAGGUGCUUGUAGUCCUAUUUACUCAGGAGGCUGAGGUGGGAGGAUGACUUGAGCCCAGGAAUUGGAGGUUACAGUGAACUAUAAUCACAUCACUGUGUUCCAGCCUAGGCCACAGAGUGAGACCGUGUCUCAGACAAAAAAAAAAAAAAAAAAAAAAAAAAGACACUUUUACUCAAACAAAAUUAUAGUAAUGAUGAUAGUCAUUAAUGUUUAUUGGACAUUUAGAACAUGACAGAAGUUUUACAUGUAUUUUCUCACUUAAUCUCACUAUAGCAAUUUGACAUAGG
rnacentral:lncRNA from 10 species